rnacentral:lncRNA from 1 species
AGAUAGCCACUGGCUCCAUGAAGAGUCAGGAAGCUGGUGACAAAGAAAUCGGAGGGCUGGAGGGUAAAAGCAGGCGAAGGUGAUACUCAGAGGAGAAGGACACUGGAGAAGUCAGUCCUGAACCCACCAAUGAGGCUUGCCCUCUCUCACCUGCUGCCAUGUAAGAUGUGCCUGCUUCACCUUCCGCCAUGAUUGUCAGUUUCCUGAGGCCUCCCCAGCCAUGUGGAACUGCUUUUGUGAAGGAAGAGAAGGCCCCUGAACCAUCCAUGGACGGCAGUUAUCAAGUCUACAGAAACAUCAAAUGAAAGUUAUCUUACCAAGUGUUAUCAUCUCUACUCAAAAACUCUACUGGUCUGAAUCUCUCACCAGAUUGAGAUGCUAUCGAUGCUGGGACUAUGUCAUAUAUCUCUUUUUAUCCUUGGUUCCAAAUCCACGAACCAGGGCCUCAGAUUCAGUGGGAAUGAAGUGGAGGCCCAGAAAGAAUCAUGUCCAGGUGAAGCUCUACCAUUCCCAGCAGUAUUUGAGGACUGGUCGGUGUUCAGCAGCAGCCCCAGCCAGGACCUCCCAGGGGACCCAAGACGGGAUAGGAUGGAGAAGUGGAACCAGGCCCUCUGACCCUAUCCCAGCACUGGAAACUGGCGAGAGCAGGCUAUCCUUCCAGGCCAGGCCUAGGGACAGAUUAACAUCAAGAAUGGGCAGAAACCUCUGUUCCCCGCAGCCCUGAGACACUAUGCAAAAUAAAUCUUUGCUCCUGCUUUGUGGUGUCAGAAACUACUUUAAAAUGGAAGGAGGGAAGGCAUAUGUGAAAAAAUUCAAAUUCUUAAGAGACAGCUAGCUUCAAAAUCCAAA